rnacentral:rRNA from 1 species
AUCCUAGCUUGCUAGGAGGCGUCGAGCGGCGGACGGGUGAGUAAUGCAUAGGAAUCUGCCCGGUAGUGGGGGAUAACCUGGGGAAACCCAGGCUAAUACCGCAUACGCCCUACGGGGGAAAGCAGGGGAUCUUCGGACCUUGCGCUAUCGGAUGAGCCUAUGUCGGAUUAGCUAGUUGGUGAGGUAACGGCUCACCAAGGCUGCGAUCCGUAGCUGGUCUGAGAGGAUGAUCAGCCACAUCGGGACUGAGACACGGCCCGAACUCCUACGGGAGGCAGCAGUGGGGAAUAUUGGACAAUGGGCGAAAGCCUGAUCCAGCCAUGCCGCGUGUGUGAAGAAGGCCUUCGGGUUGUAAAGCACUUUCAGUGAGGAAGAAAGCCUUGAGGUUAAUACCCUCGAGGGAGGACAUCACUCACAGAAGAAGCACCGGCUAACUCCGUGCCAGCAGCCGCGGUAAUACGGAGGGUGCGAGCGUUAAUCGGAAUUACUGGGCGUAAGCGCGCGUAGGCGGCUUGAUAAGCCGGUUGUGAAGCCCCGGGCUCACCUGGGAACGGCAUCCGGAAUGUCAGGCUAGAGUGCAGAGAGGAAGUAGAAUUCCCGGUGUAGCGGUGAAUGCGUAGAGAUCGGAGGAUACCAGUGGCGAAGCGGCUUCUGGACUGACACUGACGCUGAGUGCGAAGCGUGGUAGCAACAGGAUUAGAUACCUGGUAGUCCACGCCGUAACGAUGUCGACUAGCCGUUGGCUCCUGAGAGCUUGUGGCGCAGUUAACGCGAUAAUCGACGCCUGGGGAGUACGGCGCAAGGUAAACUCAAUGAAUGACGGGGCCGCACAGCGGUGGAGCAUGUGGUUAAUUCGAUGCACGCGAGAACUUACUACCCUGA